UUUCCGUAGGUGAACCUGCGGAAGGAUCAUUAUUGUAUAACCGAGGUGCGAGGGCUGUCGCUGACCCGAAAGGUCGUGCACGCCCGAGUGCCCUCACACACAUCCAUCUCACCCCUGUGGGCACCACCGCGUGGGUCCCCCUUUGGCUUGUUCGGAGGGGGGCUUACGUUUUCACACAAACUUUGUAUGCAGUGUAGAAUGUAUUUUUUGUUUUUGCGAUCACGCAAUCAAUACAACUUUCAACAACGGAUCUCUUGGCUCUC
rnacentral:misc_RNA from 1 species